GAUGAACGCUGGCGGCGUGCCUAAUACAUGCAAGUCGAGCGAACAGACGAGGAGCUUGCUCCUUCGACGUUAGCGGCGGACGGGUGAGUAACACGUAGGUAACCUACCUAUAAGACUGGGAUAACUUCGGGAAACCGGAGCUAAUACCGGAUAAUAUUUCGAACCGCAUGGUUCGAUAGUGAAAGAUGGCUUUGCUAUCACUUAUAGAUGGACCUGCGCCGUAUUAGCUAGUUGGUAAGGUAACGGCUUACCAAGGCAACGAUACGUAGCCGACCUGAGAGGGUGAUCGGCCACACUGGAACUGAGACACGGUCCAGACUCCUACGGGAGGCAGCAGUAGGGAAUCUUCCGCAAUGGACGAAAGCCUGACGGAGCAACGCCGCGUGAGUGAUGAAGGUCUUCGGAUCGUAAAACUCUGUUAUUAGGGAAGAACAAACGUGUAAGUAACUGUGCACGUCUUGACGGUACCUAAUCAGAAAGCCACGGCUAACUACGUG
rnacentral:rRNA from 1 species